UACGGGGGGGGGCAAGCGUUGUUCGGAAUUACUGGGCGUAAAGGGUUCGUAGGUGGCCAAUUAAGUCAGACGUGAAAUCCCUCAGCUUAACUGGGGAACUGCGUCCGAGACUGGAUGGCUUGAGUGCAGGAGAGGAACGCGGAAUUCCAGGUGUAGCGGUGAAAUGCGUAGAUAUCUGGAGGAACACCGGUGGCGAAGGCGGGUCUCUGGACAGUUCCUGACGCUGAGGCACGAAGGUCAGGGGAGCAAACGGG
rnacentral:rRNA from 1 species